rnacentral:rRNA from 1 species
GUAAGUUGAGGGUCAGCGGCGGUGGUAAGACGGGGGUGGGCAUGGUUAACCUGAAUUAUGGGGUGUAAAGGGGUGGGAGGGGGGUUCGAAGGUCGGAGGUGAAAGCCACCGGUGCAACCGUGGAGGGUCAUUGGAAACUGGGAAACGUGAGUGUAGUAGAGGGAAGCGGAAGUGCACGUGUAGCGGUGUAAUGCGGAGAGAUGUGGAGGAAGACCAGUGGCGAAGGCGGCUUUCUGGUCUGUAACUGACGCUGAGGCGCGAAAGCGUGGGGAGCAAACAGGAUUAGAUACCCGGGUAGUC